UACGUAGGGUGCAAGCGUUAAUCGGAAUUACUGGGCGUAAAGCGUGCGCAGGCGGCUUUGCAAGACAGAUGUGAAAUCCCCGGGCUUAACCUGGGAACUGCAUUUGUGACUGCAUGGCUGGAGUGCGGCAGAGGGGGAUGGAAUUCCGCGUGUAGCAGUGAAAUGCGUAGAUAUGCGGAGGAACACCGAUGGCGAAGGCAAUCCCCUGGGCCUGCACUGACGCUCAUGCACG
rnacentral:rRNA from 1 species